rnacentral:rRNA from 1 species
CCAAGUUCCCCCGGAGGAAAGUUGCAAAGAACUUUGAAGAGAGAGUUCAAGAGAAUGUGAAACCACGUGGGGCUAAGCGGAUAGAGUUGACGAAACUGGCAGUGUUCAGUGCUCGUGAUCGGGUUCGCUCGUGAUCGGGUGCGCAUUCAUUGUCGGUACGUGCUGGGACGUUUGGCGCGCCCUUCUGAAGGCUUCAGAGUGGCCCAAGUUCGCUUGGUAGUCUUCUGUUGUCGAAAGUUGAUGUGCGUGCUAAUCGUAGAGUUGGCCAUGCCUCUGCGCGUUCGGCUGUUGGUUGGUGCUUCGCUUGGUAGUAGGACAUGUCUUGCUGCCUCGUGCGAGUGCUCAUCAGCGGCUGCACGCCUAUGGUCCAAUCCCGGUAUGUGAAAGUUGACCACCUAUCCGACCCGUCUUGAAACACGGACCAAGAAGUCUAGUAUGUACGCGAGUCAUUGGGUAUGAAAACCUAUUGGCGCAAUAAAUGUGAAGGGCGACUUGUUCGUCUGAUAUGUGAUCCGUCGGCUUCGGUCGGCGGCGCAACAUAGUCCCAUGCCUACUGCUUGCAGUGGUGUGGAGAUGGAGCGUACACACUAGGACCCGAAAGAUGGUGAACUAUGCCUGAGCAGGACGAAGUCAGAGGAAACUCUGAUGGAAGUCCGAAGCGGUUCUGACGUGCAAAUCGAUCGUCGGACUCGGGUAUAGGGGCGAAAGACUAAUCGAACCAUCUAGUAGUG